rnacentral:sRNA from 10 species
UGUUGUGUGAGGAGUGAAGAGCAUCUCUUCAGGGUCGAAACAAGGACAGACUCCUGGAUGUGUUCCGCUU